rnacentral:rRNA from 1 species
CCUACGGGUGGCUGCAGUGGGGAAUAUUGCGCAAUGGGCGAAAGCCUGACGCAGCGACGCCGCGUGAGGGAUGAAGGUCUUCGGAUCGUAAACCCCUGUCAGCAGGGAAGAACGGUCACUGUGCUAAUCAGCAGUGAAUUGACGGUACCUGCAAAGGAAGCACCGGAUAACUCCGUGCCAGCAGCAGCGGUAAUACGGAGGGUGCGAGCGGUAAUCGGAAUUACUGGGCGUAAAGCGCUCGUAGGCGGUAUGUCAAGGCAAGGGUGAAAUCCCCGCGCUCAACGUGGGAACUGCCUUUGAAACUGGCAAACUGGAGUGUGUGAGAGGAUAGUGGAAUUCCAGGUGUAGGAGUGAAAUGCGUAGAUAUCUGGAGGAACAUCAGUGGCGAAGGCGACUAUCUGGCACAUAACUGACGCUGAGGAGCGAAAGCGUGGGUAGCGAACAGGAUUAGAUACCCUAGUAGUC